UUCCAUAUAAAGGCGUGUGAUGGUUGGUCUGCCUGUCUCGCAGCGCUUUGCAUUCUCUAGAACCUGAUAACAGCUAUAAGUCAGUUGCACUCAAUUAUCAGUCUAAGAGAGAUCUGGAUAUCAUAGAGGGUUAUUGUUGAUCCAUGGAUACAGUCCAACAUCCAUGAUUAAAAGAGAAUGGUUGUUGACGUAUUACACUAAUGCAGUUGUUCCUUUACGGUGUGUGGGAGGCGCUACAGUCUAUCAGGAGGUAGAAACUAAUUUUUUUAAGGAAGAUAAUUGAUACCUUCAGUGGCACACUUGGAGUAUGAAAAUGCCUCAUUUGGAUCUAUGCCCCUCCGUUACUGCCCAACAGCUGGUGAAUUUUUUGUUUUAAGGAGGACCGGUACUGCGUUCACCAAUAGAUGUUCUACCUCCAUGUGUUAGAUCUUGCAGCAGGGAAAGGAACGGACCAUGCAUCAUUAGUUCCCUAAUACAUUUUAAAUUGUUUUAUGGUGUAACAUGUGUCAUUAUGAUAUAUUAUAUCUUACAAAUAGCCA